UUUUUAAACAUAAUCUAAUUUUGGGGAAAUGUUUUGUGCUUUUUUCAAAAUAAAUACCACUUGGUUUAACGUUUACAAAUGCAGUGAAAUUCAUCCAUUUGUUCGUGUGGCUUAAUUAUCCAAAUACUGAUUAGUGUUCAUGUAGAACGGAGGAAAACAGCCCUAUAAAAGCACAGCACUUCUUCUCUUUACAGGUAAUAGAUACAGAGACAGUGUAACAGCAUGGCCACUGCAGCUGAAAAAGACACAGUAUGGAUCGGGUUCAUGGACAUCGUUCCAGUCAUCGGGACGGUAAAAGAGGCAGUGGAGCUGGUGCUGGCUCUGUACGAAGGGAAUAAAGCGGUGAUAAAGGAGAAAGAGAAGGCCAUUGAAAACAUUCUAAAAGAGUCAUUAAAAAAACAUGAGAAGGAAAACUAUGUGAAAAAGUUGACUCUAGCUGAUAAACCAGCAGCAGCUGCAGAUGAAUUUUCUGGACUCAGAAAUGUGAGAGAGCAGACACCUGUACUGCAGGAUAAAGUUGAAUGUGCCAGUGGUGGACAGGUUUUUAAUGGUUUUGGGCUGAGCAUCGAGGCCCUGACAGUGCUGCUGGAUCUUCUGAGAAGUGAACAGCAACAGUGAUGGGGUGCCACAAUCCAGACCCUGGUGUUUCUCUUCUGUCUGCCAGUGGUACAUCAUACAGAGUGGUCUCCAGAGUGUCCACUGUCACAGCAUUGUCCUCCGAGAGACUGAGGAGGUGCUAGCCGUUCACCAAGAGAUUCACCUCAUGAAGACCCCAGAACACAUGGAGGCUGGGCUGGGCUCAAAACUGAUGUUGUUUUUCUGAUGUUAAACCUAAGCUAUGUUGUGAAUAGUUGUAAAAAGUACUUUCAGUUAUGUAUAGAACAAAUUGUUUUAAUGUGUAAAAAAAAUUUACUGGACAAAAAAAAAAAAAAAAAAUAAUGUUUUGUGAAAUUAUAAGCUGCAUUAAAAAAUAAUGUACAUAAUUACUUCUCUUUUAUUUACACAUAUGAAUAUGCAAAACAAAAAUACAAAAUGUACAUAAAGUACUCAGGCUCAUUAACAAAUACAUUACACACAAAAAAAUAAUAAUGUAUGCAACUUAUACAUUUCAUUUUUUCUUAUAUCACAAAAAUAAACUACAGAAAUGAGGUUGUUUCA
ensembl:lncRNA